AGUAGGAAUUUAAUUUUGGUUCCGAUUGAACGUUUUUCAGUAGUUUUAAGACAUGCAAAUCGUUUGUAUGCGGUUAAUCUAUAUUAACGGUAAUGUUAAUUUUUGAUUUAAGUGUACAAGGUGUACGGGUGAGUAUUGUAAAUGAGAUGCCCUUGUUGACUUCAGAAAUAGAAGAUAGUUCUUUUCAAUUAAAAAAUAAAAAAAGGAGAUAAAAAACUUGUUUUUAUAAAAUUAAUGAGAUUUUUCAGGAUAAAAAGAUGUCUUAGAAAGUUAACAAAGAACAAAACAAAAAGUUAAACUUUAAAGAAAGAAAGGGAAAUUUUCCGCAAUAAGGAUUCAAUUUACGUUCGAUUAGGUAGUUGGGAGGGUAAAGGCCUACCAAGCCGACGAUCGAUAGUCAUGUUUGACAGAACUAAUGACCACAUUGGGAAUGAAAUCUCCCAAGUAGCGUUUAGCUACCAGCAGUCAAGAGUAUUAGUCAAUGCUCGCAAGAGUGAACUAGCUAACUGAAAUCCUUGAUKUKCCAUCGAGGAUAACGUAAGGGAAAAUAAUGAUGUUACCUUACUAGUAGUGUCGUCCAAGUGCUCGUGCCAGAAGACUCGGUAAGGCGAGAGACGCAAACGUUAUUCGUCUUGAUCAGGCGUAAAGGGUUUGUAGGCGGCUUUAAGUAUCCAAUUUUAAGUUUACUAUUAUAAUUUUAUUUUUAAUAUUGUUAUAAUAUUUAUUAAAGGAUCAAUUAAAGCUAGAAUCUAACAGGGGUUAAAACAAUGCUUAAAGUAGGAGUACGAACCAUAGAUAUUAAGUAGAGUGUUAAGGGCGAAGGCUUUUAUCCAAUAAAGAUUGACGCUGAGAAACGAAGGUGAGGACAGAAAAAAGGAUUAGAGACCCUUGUAUCCCUCACUGUCAACGAUGAAUGGUAGUUACUAGGGAGAAAUAACCUAGAGACGAUGUUAACACGAAAACCAUUCCGCCUUGUGAGUACGACUGCAAAGUUGAAAACAAAAAAAUUAGUCGGUUUCGGAGCAAACGAAGUGAAGCAUGUUGUUUAAUGCGAUAAUCCGCGUAAAACCUUACCAGUUCUUGUAUAUAAACUUUAUUAAUUUAAAGGAGUUAUUUGUUAUUUAUCUUGUAAGUGGCGGUAUUUUGUUAAAAAUGCUACCCUUAAUAAAUAACAAGUGCUUAAUACAGGUGUUGCAUGGCUGUCUUCAGUCCGUAUCGUGAGGAGUGAGGUUAAAUCCGUUAACGGACGCAAUCCCUAUUGUUAAUUUUUACUUAACAAUUUAUGAUUCUGAUAAAGUAUCAUUUGGGGCUAAGACAAGCCCUUAUGGCCCUAAUGAACUGGGCUAUAGACGUGCUAUAAAGAUUUUUACAAAGUGACGCGAAACUUCUCUUACCUUACUUAUUUAAUUUAAGGAAAGGUUGUUUUUAUUAGUAACAGUUUAAUAUAAAUUAAAUUGGUUUAAUGUUUUUAAAUCAAUUGUUUGAUUGAUUUAAAAACAAAUAAAAACUUAAAGAGGUUAAGGAAGAGCUAAUCAUUAAAAAAAAUCAAAAUAAUAAAUUAAUGUUACGGAUUGUCACCUGAAACUUGGUGGCAUGAAGGAGGAAUUUCGAGUAAUCGUUGAUCAUUAGGCGCAACGGUGAAGCAAGAAUCCGAGAUGAACUAACCGUCUGUCGCUGGGAAGGAGUUUAUUUUGGUGGAAAAUAAGUUAAGGUUUUAAUUUUAUAGUUCCCAUCCCACUUUUUUGUGGGAAGAACACUCAAAAGUUUUAUAUUUUUAUUAAUAUAAAAAAGUUUAAAUAUUAAUUAUUAUUAAAUUUAUUUAAGCCAUUUGAGCGACAUCUCAAAAGUCAUAGCAGGGUAGUUGUACUGGAAGGUGCAGCUGGAUAUUUAAUAAGUAAGUUAACCC
rnacentral:rRNA from 1 species